CCGCUCAGGCCACAGCAACCGCUAGAGUAGGAGAGAUAACGAGUGGUGUCUCUGGCUUUUAGGCAGUGUUCCAGUCCAUUCUGCCCUCCUAAGUACGCGAGUGUUUUUGUUUUUUUGGACAAAGGCAGCGGGGGGGCGGGAAAAGCUCCGUUUCCAUGACAACUGCGUGGGUGAGGUGAAGGGGCGUUAGGAAACCUCUUUGCUGCCUUCCAUUCCCGCCUCUGUGCUGCGGUGCUUGGGAACUGACACCUCCCACAGGUUGGGGCGGGGCACCGUGGGGAUAUUCCGCUCCAGCCAGACGCGGUAACCAUAGCAACUCCGCAACCUUCCAGCGUUGUCUAGGAAGUUCCCAGUCUACGCCUUUACGUCGUGGCUCGGGUAGGGAGAUGUGAGGAGUUUUUUGAUGGAUAGGUGGGGCGAUCUUGACCCGGGCCCCUUCUAAGCCCUCCCGAGUGCUGGGAUUACAGGCGUGCGCCACCACACCUGGCUGAGACUGUGCCUGUUGUUUUCACGAGCAUCGAGGAAGCCCGUGGUGCUGGAGUGAAGGGAGCCAGGUCCUACAGGCCCCUCGCAGAGGAAGGUUCUCUCUAAGUCAUGAAGUUGCCCAGAUGGGGCUGGAGCUUGUGAUCCUGCUGCCUCAGAAAAAGCUGGCACGACGGACUUGUUUUUUUGAGAGGGGUCUCACGGUGUCGCCCGGGUUGACCUCAAACUUGAGAUCCUCCUGCGUUAGCCUCAGCUUCCUGUAUAUUCUGUGAACACACCAGAUCAUCAGCGCCACUGUGGGACCUCUGAACUUGUGGUGUCCUCUGCCUCGCGCAGCCUUCCCCAGAAGAGAGUCAUUUCUAGAUUCCAUUUGGACUCAGAUGUCAUGCCGGUGUGACAGCUCUGAAUGAACAGCCUUCCCACCAGUGGCUCCAAGAGGGUGCUUAAUAAAUAUUUGUGGAACAAAGCUGGGUGUGGCAGUUCACACUUGCAGUCUAGCACUCUGAGAGGCUGA